rnacentral:rRNA from 1 species
GGAGGAAUAUUGGUCAAUGGGGCGAGAGCCUGAACCAGCCAAGUCGCGUGAGGGAGGAAGGUCCUACGGAUUGUAAACCUCUUUUGCCGGGGAGCAAAGGGGCCAUUGAUGGCAGGAUGAGCGUACCCGGAGAAAAAAGCAUCGGCUAACUCCGUGCCAGCAGCCGCGGUAAUACGGAGGAUGCGAGCGUUAUCCGGAUUUAUUGGGUUUAAAGGGUGCGCAGGCGGACUCGUCAAGUCAGCGGUAAAAAUUCGGGGCUCAACCCCGUCCUGCCGUUGAAACUGCGAGACUGGAGUGCGACAGAGGAAGGCGGAAUGCGAGGUGUAGCGGUGAAAUGCAUAGAUAUCGCGCAGAACUCCGAUUGCGAAGGCAGCCUUCCAUGUCGUAAC